UUGAAAAAAAAGACUCAACUAUAUGCUACACACAGAGACUCAUUUAAGGUUUAAGGAUACUCACAGACUGAAAGUGAAGGGAUGGAAAAAGAUAUUCCAUGCAACUGGAGGCCAGAAAAGGAGAGGGGUAGCUAUACUUAAUUGUAGCUGACAAAACA